CCCACCAAUUGCCAUUUCUUCACCUUCUUCACAAUUUUCUUCCCAUUUAUAAAUGGAAAUGGCAUCUCAUUUUUUUUUGUCAUUGUAGAAAAAGAGCUAUAAUGAAAAUUUCUUAGUCCAUAAACAACCCAUGUCGCUGGUUUGUUGGAUGUAAGAUGGUCGGGUUUGAUGCAAUUUUUUUAGGUGGUGUGAAGUUAAUUAUCCUGAACAUGCUAGAAUUGCUAUUUCGGGAUUACAAAAGAGGAUUAAAAAAAAUGAUGAAGAAAAGGAAAAAAUUAGGAGGAAGUAUCAAUUUUUGCUGCUCAUUGUGAUAUAAGCUUUGGUUUAUAGAGAGUUCUUUAUGUAAUAGAUGCUAUGUAUGUUGCUUUUUGGGUCACCAAGUUAAAGCAAAAGGGGGAAAACAAAAGGAAACACAAUCACAGUACCUUAAUUUGCAAAGAAGGGAAACAAAGACAACAAUGGAUUGUGCUUGCAGAAGAUCAAAUUUGAGAUUAGAAAUGGUCUAGACCUGAAGCUCACUUUCCUAAUUUUGUUCUGGAAAUCUUCGCAGCUAUACAUUUUGCUUUUAUUAUUUUUAUUUAUUGUAGAAGACUUCUUUUGAAUUAUCAAUAAAAUAAGUCAAUGGGAUCCUUCCAUUUAA